rnacentral:lncRNA from 1 species
CACAAGCUGUUUCUUUGACAGUCCAGAGCCAAUGUGACAGCGAAGGUAGGGGAGACGGAAAGAACCAGACUGUGCAUGCAUGUGUGUGGGUGCGUGCAUGUGUGUGCGUGCAUGUGUGUGUGUCUGUUAGGCUUAGGAGAGGUGUGGAGGUGGUUGAGGAAGCUCAGCUCCAUUAUCAGCUCCAUUUUACAUAUCCCUGCAGGGAACACCUGAUAAGACACAUUUACUCUUGUGGGGCAUUUUUAUUCAGACUGUGGUUUGUCUACAGCAAACAAAAUGUAAUGUUAUAUAAACAACCUUCUACCAGGUAGUUUUAUUACCCUUAAAGGUAGUUUCCUAAUAAAUAUAUUGUGCAUUAAAAGCUCUCUCUGCAGAGGUGAAAGUUUAAUUGGUUUGAAUUUCCGCUUGUGUAUGAGGUUGAACAAAUCAAAGAAAGAGUCCUUGAUAUCCCUCCAAGGAAAAUCAUGUAUCAGUAUUCAGUUAUAUGAGAACAUACUCCACAUUUGGAUUCUCAAUCGUGAAAGUCACGUUUUUGUUGUAAGCCCUCAAAAGAUUCUGUCCUUUUUUUGUCUGAAAAUUUCUCACCAAUUUGAUGUGGGUUGGGGUCCGUCGGCAAAGGAUGGUGAACAAUCAGAACUGAGUCACACUCUAAGCUAAAUCUGACACUCGGGGGAUAAUUUUGGUUCCUGUUGCCAGGCAACUGUCAUUCAAAUAUGAAUAAAACACACCUACACUAUCUUCAUGAAGCAGAUUAGUCGAUUUUUUGACAGUCUAACUCUUGAUUAAUUGAUUUCUCUUCUUUUUUUAAAUGCCAGAUUACAGAAAAAAAGCACAAUGAGAGAUGGCAGCUAUGGUUUAACACAGAUACUUAAGAGCAAUAAUGUGGAUCUUAUUUACAGCAAGUAGGUAGUACAUCGUAGGGGGACGGUUUUAAUGCUGCGUUCGAGUUACCUUGGAAGUCAGAUGUCGGAGCUGAAAAUGACGUCGCACCUCAGUUACCAGCGUUUCAGUUACCAAGUGGGAAAAAAGGAAAAUCAGAGGCGGAAACAAGAUGGCUACAUCUACGCAAGUUAUUUCAGCGCUUGCUUUGUCCGAAUAUAACAAGGACACAAGGGAAGCCCUAAAAUAACAUUCGUAGAUGUAGCCAUCUUGUUUCCACCUCCGAUUUUGUUUUUUUCCCACUUGGUAACUGAAACGCUGGUAACUUGGGUGUGACGUCAUUUUCAGCUCUGACAUCUGACUUCUGAGGUAAUUCGAACGCAGCAUAAAUAAACUCAAAUGGUUAGCUUUAGACAACUAGCUGGCUAGCUAGCAAGCAAAAAUUGGUAAGAGCCUACACUGUUAAAACAUUCGACUUCAAGUACGCUGUAGCCCGAAGUCUGCCAAUAAAUAAAUAUAUAUAUAUAUUAUAAUGAAAAGUUUAAACAGUGUUUGUAGAUCAGGAGUAAAUAUUGAUAAGAAAACAGUGAAAAAUACCCUCUAACAUAUGAGAGAUCUGUAUGUUCCUACUCCCUUGUUUAUUACAUUUUUUUAUAAGGAUCUCAGCGAGAGGACCCCAUAUCCCCCUUUUGAUUACCCUUCUGGAACAAAAAGAAGAGGGCAGUCUCCACACAGCUUUAUGACACUGUUAACAUCACACAUAAACCUUUACUAUCAGGUAGCAGCAUGUGGAUAUGUUGUGCUAAUUCCUUGUUUACAGAGAUGUAUCCUCUGUUGCCUCUGCAGCAGGGAGGACAUCAUUGUUAUUCGUUGUAUCUAAACUCUGAGAUUUUUUCCCCUAUAAGUUUCCAAUAUCCACAAUCCGGUCAGUGUGGGUAUAACUGAAGAAUAAUGUAGUUUUAUUACUGAAUAAUGUGUUGAUUUGUACACAACUCUACAUAGGGUAACUUUAAUUUGACUUAUAGUUUCAAAUACAUGCAGGAAGUGACAGUCAAGGUUAAGAUUAAGAUGUCAUGUCGUAAAUUUUCUGUGUGGAUAACAAUUACCCGUUCUUGACAAAUUACAUCUGGUAAGCAAGUCUAAAACAGGUUGCGUCAAUGUUUGUAAGAUUUAUGAGCACGUCUGCGUUCGCGUUUAAUUCGCUUGGAUCUGGCAGACACGGCGAAAUGCCCGUGAUGAAGGGGUAAAAAAAGGAGAUUUCCUCGACAGUUUUUUUUGUGAAGACGUAUGCACUUCUCCCAUCAUUCAAAGGAGGCUGUAAAAGUUAACAACCUCUGCACAUAAAAGAAAAGCAGUCGGCAUACUCUGACAUACAGCAGGGCGAGCUGAUCAAAGGCUUACACCGGGGUUUAGAUGAGGGACGAGCUGGAAGGGGUUUAGACUCCAGCAGUCCUUCACUUAAUGAUGUUUUCUGAUUGGAGAACCUGAAGGAAAGCUCGUAUUGUUACUCAAACAAUAAUUUUCUCGUAGUUGGAGACAGUGCAACAUAUACAGACCGUGUGCGAAGUGAGAAUGUUUUAUUUUCGAUGCAUAGAGAGCCAAUCCGAGUCUUUUUAACCUUUAAAACCCUCAUCCAUUCAAGACGUGUUUCCUUCUCUUAUUUUCUGAUCUAGAAAAACUGUAAAGAUAACUUCUGCCCAUAAAGACUGAUUCAGCUCUCCGCUUGUCUUGCACAAAGUCUUACACUGCUUAUGUUCUGUUUGUGUUAUCAGAGCUCAGCGGAGUGGGCUGAAUAAUUCAAUGCUCCCAGCAGCCCCUUUCUUUCUGUCUCACUCUCUGUUUGCACCGACCUAGUUUACAACAGGAGUUUACAGGUUGGGACGGGGGCCGAAGAUUGGCAGCCUUGUAGCUAUCAACCCUCACCAGGACACAGAUCUUUUGUGCAGAAGAUAAACCUUUGACAGCUUGUAAAUUAAAGUCAGAAUUUAUUAUUAAAUCGAAUUGAAUGUGUCAUAUCUACACCCAACCGUACCUGAAUAAUAUUUUUAGAUGAUUUGAAAGCUUUCCCAGCAACUCAAGGCUAGAGGUUGAACAGGUUUUAGGACUCAACUUUGAGCUCCAUCCAGAGGCGCACUGUUAGUUCAACCGCCUACCGGGCCCACAAGUCAAGAUGUUACGCUUGUUAAACAGACCACCAACAUCCAAAAAGCUCAGCUCUCAUUGACAGGCCUGAUGGUGCUCAUAGCUCUCCUUUGACCUGCCAAGGUUCGUGAGCCCAAAUGAGCUUAAAACGCAGCAUGAAACACAGACUGUCGACGCCCAUCUGUGAGAGGGAGUCUGCUCCCCACAAGCGCCAAAUCCAAGGGGUUGUUGAGAGGUGACAGCACAGAUCCGUCACAGGCAAUCAGUGAUUUGGAACAUAACGUUUUUCUAGAUGUACAUAUUUUAUCUUUCCCUCCAAGUGAAGGUUGACUUUUUCAGUGUUUUUCCCUUUUUUUCAACUGAACUAUUUCGGUGGAACAACAGAUGCCAAGCACUGAAGUAAGGAGUUAAUGAAAUUUCCCCUUGAGGGAGACGAAAAACAAACAAACAAAAAUUGAAUUGGGCAGUCGCGGGUUCAGAGAAGCCAAGGUUAAGGAAAUGCAACAAAGCAGUGCAGUGGUUUCAUAGAAAAUCAAUACUGUGCUCCUCAUUAAUGUCCUCAUACUGCUGUGUGGAAGACAGGUCUGAUUUUUCAACAUGUAGGAAAUGAAAGAGACACCGGGUCUGUGUCAGUGUGAGAGGUCUACAAAGGCUCUCGAAUGAUAGGAGGAUCUUGCAUCCUACAUGCAAAUAAAACAAUAGAGUUCAUCUACUUUAUUACACUGAUUUGUUGACAACCUAAUACCUCUUACAUCUCAUUUUCUUCACACAUUUCCAUCUUCUUUUGGCCUCUGACUGGCGUCCUGUUAGUAACAGCCACCGCUGUCUGACAUAAAUUUUACAGCUUUAGGUGAGUAUUCCAGUCACAUCGCAGACGUGACUUUCCUUGUGGAUUCUCCUGCCAAGUUCCCAUUAAUCCAAACUGGGCAAAAAUGAAAGAAGUCUACCUUCAAUUCCCAAAAGGACCUCUUCUUUUUCAUUAAAUACUCACAGGAGGUUUUUCUGGAAUACUGAUCAGAAGUCAGAAAUUAACGAUCAGGUGGCUUAGUGUGACUGAAAUCCUUUUCUGCUAGAUUAAAAACGCAUUUGGGUCUUAAAACAUUUUUAUAAAAAUAUCAAAAAGAUGAACUUUAAAAUAGGUAAGUAUCUCUGGUACAGCUUUACAAUGGUUUCAGCCCUUCCUCGGAAACAGUAAUGUCAAGGUGGCUAUGAACAGCCACGUAUCUUCCUCCUUUCCCCUGAUAUGUGGAGUUCCCCAGGGUUUCAGUCCCCUUUCAGUCAGCUGUCCAGUCAAUCCCUGGUGUUUGAUAUAAUUCCAUCAAGUGUGAUCUCCUCAUAAACGCCUUUUAAGUGGUUGUCCUUUAUUUGAACUUUGACAAAACUGAAAUACAUCAUCUUUGACCUAAAAGUGACCUUCGACCCUCACACCAAACUUUUUCAAUUCUGUUUCCUGCAGCAAAUAAUACCAAAAUCAGGAGCUAUAAGCUCCACUGAUUAGUUUAAAACACCGCCCACAUUGUCUGUUGAACAUUUUAUCAAGACAGCUGUCACAUACCUGUUAACUAGAUAUUUUUUUUUAAACACAACUACCAUAAGGAAAAGAUGUUGAAAUUCCUCCUGGACUUGGUUGUAAUAAUGGGUUGCUAUUGUUGAAGACCUUUUCUCAUAGCAAGAAAAAAGGGUAACACUUUGCAAUAACCAUCAUUUAUAAAUGGUAAUCAGAUAGUUUAUCAAUGUAAAACAAUUGUUACUUUACCAUUAACAAGCAAUGAAAUUAUGAUAAAUAAUUUUCAAUAAUUAUUAAUGGACUAUUUAUUAAAGGUUUAUACAGGGUUUAAAUAUUGGUUGUAAAACAUCUAGAUUAAAAUGUGUGUCAGUGGCACUUUGUAAAUGAUUAAUAUUAGUUUUUUAAACCAUCUAUAAACAUUACUUAGAUGGUUUUUGUAAAGUUAGGGUUAGGUUUUUAAAAUUGUAAAAUUUAUAAUUUAUUAAUGGUCUAUAUGAUAUUUAUUAAUGAUGAUUUAACAUUAAUAAACUAUCUGCUUACCAUUUAUAAAUGGUCUAUUUACCAUUUUUAAGUUAUGGUUUUUGUAAAAUGUUACUGAAAAAAGUCCUUCCAAUGCUGCAAUGUAAAGGGGGUAAAUGUUUCUUAGCUCACCUAACGCUACAACACAUUGAGAGAUAAAAGAUGCACCAAUAACAAAAUAUUUGUUGUACAGUGUUAUUUUCGUGUGAACUCAUGUGUUUGUUUGAGAUUCCCUGGUCUAAUGUUAUUCAUUUUCUGUUUAACUCAGGUUUGUAUCAUAAUGAAUAAGAUCCCUCCUGCUAAUAAACACAAUGAAGGUCAAAGGAGUCCUUGUACCUCCAAACAAAAGACUACAUCUAACCUCUGUAAGUGCUACCAACAAUAUGUUACAGUAAAUUAACCCCCCCUCCCCUGCAUUCAGGCUCCAGUUGCUGCUCGAUCCUCUCACACAUUGAACGGGUCUUUGCCGGUCAAGGCAGUCAGGCAGGAGAAUGAAGUAAACGAGCCCUGGCCACAAAAGGCCAUCCCUGCCUGACUCGUGAUCUGCGUUGCCAGUGCUGACAUCCGAGGUGUUAUUACCAUAUAAAUGAGAUAAGGUCUGUAGUAAUUGGGGGCUGAAAUUAAAGCCAAACAGUGAUAUGAGUUGGAGACAGUUUGUCUGCAUGUGGAAGGGAAAUUGUGAUGUUUCAACAGCCGAUUAAAUUGCAUGUGUUGAAUGAAUGUAUUUCUAAAUGAUCAAAACGUACAUGCUCUAUAAGGGAAAUUCACUCUAUGGAGGGAUUCUGGCAUUUUAUUUGCUUAAAUUUCAACAUGGUACUGGCACUCUAGAGCAAUAAAAAAUGCCUAUAAGCUCUUAUGAAAAGAUUAAAAUGGUUAAAGUGCUUUAUCAAGACUCCGGUGAAUCCGAUCUGAUUACACAGACCUUAAACAUCAGUAGCAUAACAAAGUAGUGCUCAUAUUGGCACCGAGCAAAUUAGAUCCAGAUAAGCGCUGCUAAUUACAUCUGUGGUGAGGUGUCAUUUGCUGAUUUUUAUGAGUGUUGUGCCAUAUUAUAUUACGGUCUUUGGUGCCCAGAGAAGGGCAGUGGCAUUUAUUAGUUGAUGGAAGAGCCCACCUGGGAUAAGAACAGCCGUGACAUUUCAGUCGUAGAGCAGGGCAAUUACCCUCUGUGUCAGCAGCAAUAGAGCAAGGUGGCCUCCCAUUGUAGUUCAACUCAUCUAGGCUUUGAUUUGUACAUAGAUUUUCUCCAGCAGGACAUUUAGAAAUGAAAAAAAUAGAUAAAUAAAUAAAAGCACCUCUCUUUAUGCUGUCUUCUUGAAACCAGGAGGUACAACCUGAAUAUCGAACAGAGGGUUGCUCAGGAAAUGUUAGAUGUUUAUUUGUGAUGUCAAGAUAAAAAAAAGGAACAAAGUUCAUAUGAGUUAACUGAAGAGCUGCAGCUGGAUACUAUUGGGAUGGAUUGGAGGUAACUGGGGUGAAGGAGGGUGAUAAUAGUUGAACUGAAACAGCUGAACAGUGGAGGACAGGUUUAAGUUAUUUGGUCACUAGGAGAAGCUAAAUCUGAUUGGUUUAGGACUUAAAAGAGUUAGCACCAUAUCCUGCAUUCUUCAUGAAAUACAGCACACAUCUUAAGACAAACUCACAUUCAAUUCUGAGGUUAUUCAAGGACAACUACAGCCAAUAAGCACAGAGGAAAUCAUUUGGUUUCAUUUUUAUGAAUACAUAAUUUUCUUACUUCUUAAUAAUGAAAAAGAUUCUGCCUUGAUAUGCAAAAUCAUUAAUCCAUCUGGAAAAAAAAUGCUAAUUUCAUUACGAUGUAAGCUCACUUGACAGUAUUUUACAGCAUUCAUCUUGGGGCAUGUUAAGAUAAGAGGAGAAUAGCAAAUUUGAUAUUCUCCUCACAAGAGGAAAUUGGACCAUCUAUCCUCUCGCACUACGAAUGGUUGGAAAAACCCUUUUUGCAAUAACUCUAAGGAUUGCUGAUUGUUUAUUCUCCUCUGGAUUUGCCUUUAAAAGUUCUCCCCUGGUUGUGAUACAAAGAACAUGCUACAUUAAUGCAAAGAAUCAGAUAGAAACAAAUGACCCCUGCUUUGUAUCAAUCUUUUACUGCAAUGAAGUCACAAAUAAAAAACUCCACUUAUCACGGCACUCUGUUGUAAUUACUCCCGCAUCUUAAUGCCACUCUGCUCUUCCCAGAUUGCAAUUGCCUGAAGGUCAUUGCAGCCUUUUCGUAUUGCAUGCUGUCUACGACUUUUCGUGGUUGACCUUUAACUGUCUGUCACUUCACAGGAUAACACCAAUCACUGAGCAGGAAUUUGAUUCCAUGCGAGGUUACAUCAUGAGGUCCUGGACAUGCUUUGUAUGGUGUAUUAUUCAAACAGUUUUUGCUCACUGUUAGGUCUGUUCUUAUUCUGAUGACUGGGUUUUCACUGCAGGGAUUUCUUCCUAACAGAGUCCUCACAUGAGUCUUUUACAUGAGUCUUUCACAGCUUUCUUGAAGUUUUCAAAACUAAAAUUACCAAAAGACUCAUAUUUGUUGUGUUAACAAGCUAAAAUUGGAUUCACAUCAAAUCAGCUAUGGACAUCGGCUUAUUCUCUGACUGCACAAUGAUUUGCUUCAACCAACUAAAGUGUCAAUAGCCAUAGUUACAUGUGCAAAAUUUCUUGAUUUGAGGGAAUCAGGAAAUCUAAAUCCACUGUUUAUAUUGGCGCAAAAUCAAAUAAUCCAAUCAUGACGUGCGCAUACAUGCACCAAGCUUUAUUCAGAUUGGAGGCAUUUGGACAAGCGCAGAGUUGUUUAAUUUCGCUAAAACAACCGCAGAAGAAGAGUUGUCAACAAACCAACAAACGCAGUAGUGGCUCACUUCAUCCGAUCCAGUAUUUUCCCUCCACUUAGAAUGGACCUGAGUCAGGUUCUGAGCGGUUGUAUUGGUUCUCGUAUACAUGAUUCAAGUGGGCCCAGCAGCACAUCCUGAUCCAGCGUUACAUGAGGAGACAGUAUCCAGCGAGAAAGUUGUGUCAGACACAGACUAAUUGCUCUUGGAUCCCGCCAUGUUUACAUCUUGUCACUAACAAUGGAAAUGUAUCACGUUGACGUAGGGCACACAUGCGCAGUCAGGGAGUCACAAUCGGAAUAGGUGUUUACAUGGACACGAAUCGGAAUAAUGAUUCGCAUAAACCACCCCUCUGGAUCAGAAGACAAUAUCUUUCUGAUUUAGCUGAAUUGGAUCAGAAUCUUCUGAUCGGCAUGUUUACAUUUUUAUUCCGAUUAUUUGUGCCCAUGUAAAUGCAGCUAGAGUCUCUUUGAAAGUGGAGUUUCACAUCAACCCAGUGUUGGAAAUGGAUGUCGACCACAUUGUCCUCUCAAACAAAAUCGUACAACUGUUAAACAGACUGUUCAACAACUUUCUGAUGCUCAAAACUGUCGAGUGACGACCUGCACUUAACAACAACAACAACAACAACAACAACAAACCCCGGUGUUCAACCAUUCGAUUCAUCCGCUGAACAAUCUCAGAGCACAGUCCCCAUUGAUGUUUGUACACUGACGCGUUAGGGUUAUAGAUGACUCACGGCACACUCUGGGCGUCAUGAAUAUUCAGAGCCGUGGCCAAAUGUCACCAAGCAAUCCCGUAACAAUAAUGGAGUUUGAAGUCUGCUGAUAAGUGGGCAUGAACUUAGGCGAGCUAAUGAAUGCCUCUGCCUCGCCUUGAUCAGUUCAGAUGGUGACUGUUUUGAGAGAGACCUCUCUUUGUGGCUGCAAUCUUCACAACACAAUCUUUUCCUUUAUGCUGUGCAACAAAAUAGAGUUCAGCAAGUGUCAAUGUGUGAACCAGGGGUCUAAAAGUUUUACUUUUUGUAACAAAAGUAAACAGAAAAAUAUGGACAUACUGCCUUUACUAACUGUGAAUGACAUUUAACAGCUUUGGUACCAGUCCAAUAAUAAACUACCACUACACUGAAGAACAAAUGCUACAGAGAAAAAACAAGUCAAGAGGAAGAUGAUGUUUAUUGUUAAUAUAUUGGAGUUUAUACUUGACAAUCUGUCACGGGGAAAGCUGGUGUCAGCGUAAUUACUAGGAAUAGUGUCUGUCAAGAUUUAGAGCAGGGCCUAUAGUGAGGCAGAGUCAUUAAUAUAAAAGAUGAUGAAAGAUUGUUGAUGGGAUUUUCACCUUUUUAGAGAGGCAAAAUGACAACAAUAUAUGUAGCUGUCCAUACAAGAGAAACACAGUGAACUGUAUUUUUUCUGACAUCAGAUCAGCUCUGUUUUAUAGAGCCUAAGACAUGCUAAUUCAGGCGCAUGAAUACACACUGUCUCAAAGAUUUACACACAAAUGCAUGCACAUAUAUUUAUUUACAUAUUCUAGCACUCUCAUAUAGAAAUCCACUUUUCUCUCCAUUUUCUACAACUGUGCAGCCAUAGAGCACGCAAGAUUGUUCUGUUUUUGUGUCUUUGAAGGCAACUUUUGAAUGAUAGACAAAAUCUCCCUGAAUAAAUUGGGACCGAGAUAGAAAUGUUGACAGAAUCAGGAUUUCUUUAUUAGCACUUGGACUCUUCCACUACAAAGCCAUGCUGUCGGUACCCAUGCACAAUGAGGUUUGUGUUUGUCUGAAUGGCUGCAUAUGAUGCUCUAAAACCUGUAUACAUUGUUCAGCGUUAUUAUUGUCUUUUUAGAUGUGUAAGCUACCCAUGUAAUGAGCAAUUACACAUCCCUGCACCAUCAUAGAUGUUUGCUCUUGAACUGUAAUCGGUGAGACCACAGGACAAUUUUCUACUUUGUCUCAGUUCAUUAGGAAUGGGCUUGCAUUGUAUUCAGUGUUAUGCCAAAUCUGGGUCAUCUGGAUUCAAAACUGGGUACUGACUGUUACUGUUACCCACAUAUUUAAUUAUUGAAUUUGAGACACCCAACCAAAAUGGACUCAUAAGACGUGGGAUUGUUCAUUGCAAGUUCUCUGAGGUUUGUUUCUGAGGUCGGAAAAGAACAUUAAAUAUUAACCCACCACAGCCCCGCUGCAGGCUGAAGCUCUGUCCAUGCAAUAACAAGCAGGGCAGUUUACUUAUCCUAGUUUUGCAGUGCAGAGCUCAAUUUUUCUGUUAUUAAUUUUUGCUCUUAGGGGUAUGAAAAAAGUAGGACACUGUAAUUAAAAAGCUGCAGUACACCAUUCAUGAGAAUGAACUCUCCAGAGAGGGAGGAUGUGUCAGCUGACCCACUGAGUGUCAGCUACAAUGCACUUUCCUCUGUUUCAGUGUCAUGAGUCUGUAAUCGAAAAAACAAAUAGACCUUUGCUUGUUCACUAGACUUAAGUUAUACUCUGAUAUUCUGAACAUUUUCGUUGAUCUACUUCAUGACCACCCAGAAGAUUUCAUGCUAAGGUGUUACAGCUGAAUCCCCACGCAACCAGAGUUGAAAUUGUCUACUCUCUUACUUCACUCUCUUGCUUACCAGCAUUUGUUGAGACACUCAAGAUUUUCCUUCAACCUUUUGCAGGUGGCCUGAUCCACUGCAAAAAAAAAACAACACAAAAACUAUCAAACCAAACUGUAAUAUUUAUGACACAGUAAGUUACAAAAUGAUCCGCGAUAAAUUACAAAAAAUUAUGAUGCAAUAAGUUACAAUAUGAUUCAUUACAAAAAGGUAACAAUGUGAUAAGUUACAAUAUGAUAGGAUAAAUUACAAAAAUGUACAAUGCGAUAAAAGUCGAUAAGAUAUGAUAAGAUAAAGUACAAAUACUAAAGAUGUGAUAAGUGAUGAUAUGAUAACUUACAAACAGUUGAGAUGCAAUGCAUAAGAUAAAUCACAAAAAGUUAUGAUACCAUGCAAUACUGAAUAACAGGAUAGGGAAGAGUGGGGUAAGUUGAGCCAAAGGGUAAGUUGAGCCACCCCCUUGCUGCUUGGAAAUGGUCAAAGAAAUUGAUCGUGUGACCAAAUAUUUAGGAGAAAGGCAUCAAUUCAUGAAGUCUGUGAAGGGUAGAAGCACAUGGGUGAAGGGGUUAGACAUUUAUUUCCAGAAAACAUUUUUUACUCUUGAAAGUGAAUUUAGUCUGUGUUCACUAGUCUGUGUUCUGGAUGUCACUGAUUGCCAUUGUGGACUCAAAUUUUUGCUGCUUCAAAAUGUCAGGCAAAUAUCAUCCGGCACCAAGUUUGUUAAAAUAAAUGAUACAGCAGACGCCCAAACAUGUGAUGCACCUUUGAAGAAUAAACUAAAACUGAAAGUCGAAAGUAUAAAUAGCUGAAGGGGCUGCAGCAAAAAGAACUCCUUUUGGGAUAUAAAGUAAAGGGUCAGCUGUUGUAUUGAGCGUCAACACUUCUGGAUACCAAUGAAAAUAAGUUCUACUUCAAAGAGGUUUGCAGCUAAAUGGAUUCCCCUACAGGGGCAGGGAGGAGAUGCUAAAUUGCACUUUCCUUAUUUCGAGUGUAGCAUUAAUUAGACACAGUGAAUAAUGAGUUGAAUGUAUAAAACACUUCUAUGGUGCUGCUUUGAUACUGACCAAAGGGUACAAAUGAGAAAGAAGGCAGUUAGAGAAACACACUUUAUGAAGGGAAAGGUGGUAAUGCAUACAAAGUCAUAUUGGAGGUGUUCACGUGGAGAGCCAAAUGUUUACAUGAGUGAACUUCAAAUAUCUUUUCCCAUCUCCUAUACACAGACACUGAGAUGGGCCACUUUGUUUCAGUUCCUCAAUACUUAUUCAAUAAAGUCGGCUCUGUUCUAUAUCCAGGAAUGACUUGUGCCACUCAGUUAAAAUAAAUGCAAGAGGGUAUUUCAUCGCACCCUGCUUUGGAUUCAAGACAGUUUAGUUAAAGGACUAAAAGAGACAAAAGGUGCCUCCUUUUGGACAGAGCAGUCUUUGCCUUUCUUAUCCUCUACAUUUUGAACUCAUGCCCCCCCAAAAAAAGGGUCACUCUGACUUUUAAAACCGCUUUUAAAAUGGUCAUUUUAAUCAUUUAUUGUCAAGUGAAAAUAGAAAAUGCAAAAAUUGGGCUGUUUAGUUGGCUGACACCUACUUUCUCACAUGGUUUUUAAGCAGUUUAAAAUACCGUUAAAAGACACAUAUUUUGUUGCUAAUAGUGAUGUUUGCUUUUUCAUAUGAUAAAAGAGCAUUCAUGUGAAUUUCAGUCCUUUUCAUCGAGUUAAGAAAACUCCUUAUAGGAUUUCAACCAACCCACCAAACAUUGGAUGUCGAAGAGACGUGCAGAUCAAGUCAGUAUUGGGUCGGUCUGUCAAAGACCACAUCUAGACGUUAGUGUAACAUGCAAAAUAGAUCCAAGAUAUAGACGUCAUUAUUGGACCUUUUUUAGACGUUGAAAUGAUGUCCACAUUUAUACCUCAUUGUCGAAAAAUACGUUACAUAGAUGUCAUUUCGACGUCUCAUUGCGCAGUGGGAAAAAUCAAGCUGCAAAUUCAGAAAGAAAACGGCUUUAACUCUAAUUAAUGCUGCCCCAUCAUACUCACUUUAAGCCACCAUUAACACAACAAUGUAAUCUGACUUUGCUUGUUUGCUGUUGAUGCAAUCGUUCUUUCUUUUUCUCUCUUGCAAAUGUUUAUGUAUUUGUUUGUUUUCAUCAUACUCUUUCUAGCCAUCACAUUCAGUUGUAUCUUCCCGCAGAAACUGUCACAAAUAUCAUCACCAAAGCACACCUAUGCACAUAUGAUUCAUUUUUUAAUGUGAUGUUGAUGCACAUCACCCACAUUGAAAUGCAUGAGAGACAACGAGAAACUGCUACAAAAACAAAAACUACAAUAACACUGGGAAUUUGAGACAAAAAGAUAUUGAAAAAGGUCAGGCAGUUAAAGGACUAGAAAGAAAAGAAAUUAAAUUUAGCCAUAUUUGGCUCUUGAAAAUAGAGGGUAGAGAGAAUGUCAUAUCCAAAGACUAACAGCUCCUCUUUAAACCUCAUAUUUAUGGUUCUUUAAAAGCCCUGCCGCCGUUGUCGUGGUGUAAAGAAAUACAGCUUUGCCCUACGAAAUCCUUGAGCCUUCUUAACUUAAUGUGUUUGUGUUUUUUUAUGUGUGUCAGUGCCAACCUGGAUUAGUAUCAUGUCACUAAGUGCCCUUGACUCCAGACAGGCGGAGUUACGCCCGUUGGAAAGGUCCAGGUCGUUUUCAUAGUCUACAUCCCCAAAACACAACUCUGAACAAAGAGAUGAAUGAUGAUUAAAGAUAAAAAAUGAGAGAAAACGUUUGUUUUAUUUUUCUUCAAAUGCAGAUAGUCUACUUUUACAGUACAAUGUUACAUAGGGUAUAAUAUGCUGAGGAACACGGCUCUAAUAUUGGUAAAACUAUAUAAAAUACUGAUGUGGAGUCUUGUGUGGUGACAGCUUUACUUUAUUUCCAGUGCUGACUAUAAUUCUCCAUAACAUUACAUUAGCUGCACCGUGAGAGUCUCAUGUAGGCGUCUGAAUCAAACAGGGAUUAUACGUGCAGGUUCAUUAAACUAUUCAACCAUAUUUUUAUGUCAUUAAGUUUCACGACUUCACUUGAGAGUGAAAGGUACCCUCCAAAUAAUUCUCACAGCAGUGGGCCAGGCUGUUCCGUGUUUUCCUCCCCAGGUGGUUUAUUGGUAAUUUUCUCACUUUGGGAAAAGAAAUGCUCCCAUGAAAUGAUUGGACUUGGCAGAAAAUGCUUGUAUUAAAAUUCUUUGAAUCAUGUUUGACCAUAAAGCAUAGCAUUUAGUGCAGGACUGUAAGUUUUACAGCACUGAUGAGGAACCAAGCACUGAGGGUGCGAGGACCUUCCUUAGAACUCUUAAGAUAUUUUAUGUAAGUGUUGUGUCGUUCACCUAAAAGAUUCGUUCAAAAGAACAGAAUCUUUUAGGUGAACGUACUGAACCGAAUCACUUCUGCGAUUGAUUCGUUCCUCACUUCAAUUGAGCCAAAGUGAGAAACAGCAUUGCCAGGCCAGCAGCCGGUGAAUGAGGGACCACAUGCACCAACGCCUGAAUCACUUGGUGAACGAAUCACACAUUGAACUACACUCUCUGGAAUCAUUUUUGUCCCAGUCCCAGAGGCUAUGAAUUGAACUGAAUCCUGAACUGUUCAGCUGUGUAUCAGUUCAGGAGGUCGGAGUCACAGGCUUCUAAGUGCUGAUUCUUUUUAGUGAACUGAUUCUGGUGAUUCAGUACAUCUAAAAGAACUGCCAUGCCCAUCACUAUUUUAUAAUCCUGCAAAUUAAUUGUUUUGGGGGAUUUUAACAUCCCCCAAACUUGGCACACUUUGAACACACAUCAGUUGUGCAUGAGAUUUCAUAUUUUUCAAGUCUUGUGAAAAAUCUUAAACCAGCUGUUAAGGCAUCAACACUUUUUAAUAUUGCAGUUUAAGAAGUGUAUUUGAACAGUUUCAUUCUACUUGUCAACUAAUUAACUUGUAGACAGUUUACAAAACAGUUUUAAAUUCCACCACAGUGAGUCUAUUGUAUAUUUUAGCUGCUGCUAAAUGACUCGUGUCCGCACUUCACUCAAGCCUCAGUCCUAAAUGAGCUCUGCUUAGAUGGAGAUGAAACACACGAGAAGUGCUGUGGCGUCCAAACGCAGAAAACCUUGCUUGUUGGGCACAGAAAGACGUCCUGUACUUGGGUCAGCAGUCCUUCUACCCCCUAAAAAGUGCAACCAGAGCCUCUCUAGAAAGAUUAAUGACCAUUGAUCCCCGGCACAACCCACCAGAGCAGCAGACCACUGUAUCCCUACAGUAAAACCCUCAUUACACACUUUCUGAGUCUUUAGGUUUCCCCUCUGCCUAGACCCAACCAAGCCCAAGGACAGAUGCUGGUGUUUGUUUUGUUCACUGAAGUGACGUAGAUGAUGUUUGCUUGUCGCUGCAUUUGUGCUAAAAGUAAAAGUCAUGGCGUUCAAAUUUUUGAUUACAACAUGUGUCUAAAGCGGUGGAAAAUCAAGGCGAAAAAGAGCGCAUCGCUGAUGGCCACUAUGUACCAGAAAACUGCAGUCUGGGAUACAUGUUUUAGGAGACAUGAGCGGAAUAAAAAAGAGCCCGCUCUGCUGCUGAUGAAAAAGAGGUCUGUAUAAUCAUUCCUGUGUUUGGAGAGCAUGUUCCCCAUUUCUGCUUCUCUGUGCAUGACCUCUCUAAUCAGAUGAGCAUUUCAAAAGCUCAGGGAGCAGAGGGUCACUUCCAGUGUAGGAGCUGAAACUGCAAAUUACCAUCGUGUAGAAAUAUUCCUUCUCUCAAUCAGAUCCCACUCGAUUCUGAUCAGUGGAUAACUGGCUGACUUCUGCCCCACACACAGGCUUUGAUGUUGGGAGAUGGUUUGAAGUAAGAGUAAUUAAAAUAUAACAAGUUCACUAAAACAUACAACAAGUACGGAGCAUAAACAACCAAAAGCCACGAUAGCUGUUGAGAGAAAACCUUUAGUCCUCUCUGUUUGUGUCUUUCCAUUAACUAUCUUCUACGCUGUUUGAAAGUCUUAUAACAAGGCAGCUGCAAAGAAAUACACCCCAAAACAAUCCCAGUGAUAAACAGAAGAAGAGAUGAGCAUGCAAAUGAAUACGUAAACUUUACAUUGUUAUAAUGAGAUAAAAACAGAUUGCGAACUGCCCAUAAAUUUGAUUUCUAUUUAUUCCUUAAGCCCUGAGACAAUUUGUUCCUUCCUCAACAAACCACACACAACUUUCUGUCCUAGCAAUUACAAUAAACUCAUGAAGACAGUCGUCCUCUUAAAUGUAAUCAGAUGUAUCGGUGGCGUAUUUUCUGGAGUGUCCAGUGUGCAUGCAAUUACUUUGCUGCCUUUUUAGUUUCAUCAAAUGAGGAAAAAGUUGAGCUAUAGAUGGCUGUAGCACUUAUUUUAUAGCCUGCAGACUUUACCGCUUCAAAACAACAUCUCAGUCCUCAUCAUUAGUGGAGCCAAUUACCAAACAACAUCAAAUACAUCUCUCCAUGUUUGCUUAAUUUUACUCAUUUUUUCCUGCUUCAAGUCAACAUGCGAGAAGAAAUUACCCUGGAUGUGUCCUUAAAACUUGACAGCGUUGAAUACUUUAACAGGUUAAUUUGCUCUUGCACGGUUACAUUUCUCAUUAAGAGGAACAAACUAGUUCUCGCUGUGGAAAAAUCACAGAGUUAAAUUUACUGCCAGUCUGUUAACAUGACUUAUUGUUGGUGUACAUGUGUUUAUAGUCAGGUAAAACAAAAGCUGUAUAUCUACUGAUGUUAGUGACUUAAUGAUGUUGUUCUCUAUGCAUUGAGAUGAGUGGGUAAUACUCCACUACACAUGACAAAUUGACCCACAAUGCUGACAUCAGUGAUCUACAGCUGGUAAUGGUGUGUGAAUAAGUUGCACAUAAAACCGGCGUGAGGAAACAGGCUGUCACAGCAGCCCACUCGUUAGGACACCAAACAAGGAAAUGCUCUGAUGGACACUAAUCAUUCAAGAUCAAAUGCAUUUCAAUUAAGUUGUAACAUCUGCUCGCACAGCCAUUCUGGUGCUCCGCCAGAUGCUCCGCAACCUCAAAGUGGUGAUGAUGCGAGAUGAAUGUGUGAGAAUCUGCUGCCAAAGAGGAGAAAAGAAAGGGAAAGAUUUGACUCCAUAAAUUCUGAAGAUGUUUCUGCACCCACAGGCUUGAACGUAAAUGACUAGAGAAAGGAGAUCUUUGAAUAUAACUUUGAAAGUUCAACAAACUAAACAAGGAAUAGGCGUGAAAUUACAUCUUUAUAUAUGUUUGAAUGUUGAACUUACACCGAUGGUUGCAGUGUCGUGGAGAUACUAUGUUGAACUGUUGCCUGGUUCGCUUUUUAGGUUGGACCCACCAACUAAUAUGGUGCAAGAGUUCUUUUUAAAGUCUAUUCAUCAAUUUCCUUUUGCUUAUCUGGGUUAGCGGUAUGUCUCUCUCGCUCUUUCCCUUGGAAAGGUUUUACAAAUUCUUCAUGGGGGGAUUCCCAAAACAUUCCCAACAAGCUUUAGGUCUACCUUGGGUGGGAAUUCCUGGAAAACCUCUAAAUUAAGGCAUCUUAAUAGGACGCCUAUACCUUGUUUAGUAUUCCAGACAAACUAAACAAGGAAUAGGCAUGAAACUACAUCUUUACUCAGUUUGAAUGUUGAACUUACACUGAUGGUUGCAGUGUCGCGGAGAUACUGUGUUGAACUGUUGCCUGGUUUGCUUUUUAGCUUGGACCCACCAACUAAUAUGGAGCAAGAGUUCUUUUAAAAGUCUAUCCAUCCAUUUUCUUUUGCUUAUCUGGGUUAGCAAAACGUCUCUCUCUCUCUUUCUCUCUCUCCAUGGCAAGGUUUUCCAAAGUCUUCCUGGGGGGAUUCCCAAGGCAUUCCCAAUAAGCUUUGGGGUCUACCUUGGGCGGGAAUUCCUGGAAAACCUCUAAAAGGAGGCACCAAGGAGGCAUCUUAAUAGGACACCAAACAACCUUAGUUGGUUCCCCUUAAUGCCAAG